GCAACCUCUUCAGACAAGAGGUUCCCUCUUGCGGGCACCCGCAUCUCAGGGGCUGGGACCCUCUCAAAAGGGCCGCUGGGUGUUGGCUCCCCGGAGCUCUUGCGCGGCACAGGCUCCUGCCUUCCGCUUUUCCACGUACUAGAUUACCUUGGGCAAGUCCUUUCCUGCAUUGAGUCUUUUUUUGCCCUGCCCUGCCCUGCCCCGCCCCUCUUCUCUUUCCUGGUAUUGGGGAUACUCCAACAAUAUCCCUCACUCAGCUCAUUUUCCAGGGGAGGGAGGCAUGUAAAAAUAUUAUUUCAAAUAAUAUAAGUACUCUAAUAAAAAUUAGCUGGCGGGGGCAUGUAGAAAAGCUGUUUUACACAUGGUGGUCUCUAUAAAGUUCUCUUUUAGAAGUGAUAAUUGAGCAGAGACCGGAAUUGUAAGAGACGCAAUGAAGGUCACCUUUGAAUAUAUACUGUGGAGGCAGCACAGUCAUGCAUCACUUAAGGACGGGGAUACUUUCUGAGAAAUAUUUCAAUGGGGGUUUUGUUGUUUGUUUUUUGUCAUGUGAAUAUCAUAGAGCACACUCACACAAGCCUGCAUGGUAUAGCUUACUACCCACCUAAGCUGUAUGGUAUAGCCUAUUGCUCCUAGGCCACAAACCUGUACGGCAUGUUACUCUACUGAAUACUGUAGGCAAUUGUAACACAAUGGUAAGUACUUAUGUAUCUAAACAUAAGAAAUGUACAGUAAAAAUAUAAUAUAAUCUCAUGGGAUCACCAUUGUAAUGCAGUCCAUGACCAAAACAUUGUUACAUGCACAUGACGGUACUCUGUGAAAGACUCCAAUUAAUCUAGAAUAUUUACACCCUAGCUCCAUACUUUAGCCACUCCUGUGAAGCCAUCUUUCACCCACCCUACCCCAUUCCCUA
rnacentral:lncRNA from 1 species